AAGGGUUGGAUACUUUGUACCAUUAUACACUUUGCUUUAAUAUAUUGUUUGAAAUAGCCUUUGCACCCCGACAGCAAUAAAUAACUUAUGGGCUCUGAAAAAGGAUCUGCAUAAACAUGCCGUUUUCUGUAACAGUGU